GCCGGGAUGGCGGAAUGGUAGACGCGACGGACUCAAAAUCCGUUGAGCUCACGCUCGUGGGGGUUCGACUCCCCCUCCCGGUACCA
rnacentral:tRNA from 1 species